GAUGAACGCUGACAGAAUGCUUAACACAUGCGAGUCUACUUGAACUUCGGUUUGGGUGGCGGACGGGUGAGUCACGCGUAAAGAACUUGCCUCACAGUUAGGGACAACAUUUGGAAACGAAUGCUAAUACCUGAUAUUAUGAUUUUAGGGCAUCCUAGGAUUAUGAAAGCUAUAUGUGCUGUGAGAGAGCUUUGCGUCCCAUUAGCUAGUUGGAGAGGUAACGGCUCACCAAGGCGAUGAUGGGUAGCCGGCCUGAGAGGGUGAACGGCCACAAGGGGACUGAGACACGGCCCUUACUCCUACGGGAGGCAGCAGUGGGGAAUAUUGGACAAUGGACCAAAAGUCUGAUCCAGCAAUUCUGUGUGCACGAUGACGUUUUUCGGAAUGUAAAGUGCUUUCAGUUGGGAAGAAAAAAAUGACGGUACCAACAGAAGAAGUGACGGCUAAAUACGUG
rnacentral:rRNA from 1 species